GGAUGAACGCUGGCGGCGUGCCUACUCCAUGCAAGUCGAGCGAACAGACGAGGAGCUUGCUCCUUCGACGUUAGCGGCGGACGGGUGAGUAACACGUAGGUAACCUACCUAUAAGACUGGGAUAACUUCGGGAAACCGGAGCUAAUACCGGAUAAUAUUUCGAACCGCAUGGUUCGAUAGUGAAAGAUGGCUUUGCUAUCACUUAUAGAUGGACCUGCGCCGUAUUAGCUAGUUGGUAAGGUAACGGCUUACCAAGGCAACGAUACGUAGCCGACCUGAGAGGGUGAUCGGCCACACUGGAACUGAGACACGGUCCAGACUCCUACGGGAGGCAGCAGUAGGGAAUCUUCCGCAAUGGGCGAAAGCCUGACGGAGCAACGCCGCGUGAGUGAUGAAGGUCUUCGGAUCGUAAAACUCUGUUAUUAGGGAAGAACAAACGUGUAAGUAACUGUGCACGUCUUGACGGUACCUAAUCAGAAAGCCACGGCUAACUACGUG
rnacentral:rRNA from 1 species